rnacentral:piRNA from 1 species
AGCUAGUUCACUCCUUUCGCCGUGCGUGGU